GCCAGCAUGGCAGAGUGGUUUGAGUGUUGGAUUACGACUCUGGAGACCAGGGUUUGAUUCCCCGCUUGGCC
rnacentral:tRNA from 1 species